GUGGGGAAUUUUGGACAAUGGGCGAAAGCCUGAUCCAGCAAUGCCGCGUGUGUGAAGAAGGCCUUCGGGUUGUAAAGCACUUUUGGCAGGGAAGAAACAGUGCGUGCUAAUACCAUGCGCGAAUGACGGUACCUGCAGAAUAAGCACCGGCUAACUACGUGCCAGCAGCCGCGGUAAUACGUAGGGUGCAAGCGUUAAUCGGAAUUACUGGGCGUAAAGCGUGCGCAGGCGGCUUUGUAAGACGGAUGUGAAAGCCCCGGGCUCAACCUGGGAAGUGCAUUCGUGACUGCAAGGCUAGAGUGUGUCAGGGGGAGGUGGAAUUCCGCGUGUAGCAGUGAAAUGCGUAGAUAUGCGGAGGAACACCGAUGGCGAAGGCAAUCCCCUGGGCCUGCACUGACGCUCAUGCACGAAAGCGUGGGGAGCAAACAGGAUUAGAAACCCGGGUAGUCC
rnacentral:rRNA from 1 species